rnacentral:rRNA from 1 species
AUCCAUGAACAUAUCAGCACCAACGUACCAAAUUUCAUCACAACUUCGAAGUUAGGUCUGUUUGGGCGAGAGUAGCACAAGGAUGGGUGACCAUUUGUGAAGUUCUCGUGUGUCUCGGCG